UCAGAAUCGUUCCGUAAAAUUACUCGAGAAAGAUGCAAGGACAUCUACAACACCAAGCGAGCUCAAUCCUAGCCUACUUCUUCCUACUCCUUCAUCAGAAUUUCUUCUCUCGUUUACGAUACGUCACAGCAGUUUCAGAUGGGAGUGGAUAACAUGCUUAAGAUGAUAACUGAAAUUGAUCAAACCACGUGUGGGGUUAUGGAAGAGAUAGGGAAUGCAGAGAUGCUGCUUUUGAGAGGAAGAAAAGCUUGGAGGAAGAGACGGAAAGGUUUCAGAAAGCUGCUUAUGCUUUACUAGGCAUGCUCAAUAAGAAUUGAUUCGAGACAGGAUCUGUGAAGCAUUACCCUUCAGGGAUUUGCAUCCCUAGCAUCUGCUCUUUGGAUAAAGUGAUGUUUCAAUUUAAACGGGAAACCUUCUUAUGUAGAAUAUGCAUCAUGCAUGAGGUGUCAUCGUUGUGCCAAUAAAUGGAAUCCAAUUUAUUUCAGGAAGUGAUGUUUUGAUGCAUGCAUUUGAAAUUACCUGAUCUGUUCCAUUCUUGUACACCAGCACGUCCUGCAGUUUGAGUCACAGUUCAGAUUUUA